rnacentral:rRNA from 1 species
UACAGAGGUCUCAAGCGUUUGUUCGGAUUCAUUGGGCGUAAAGGGUGCGUAGGCGGCGCGGUAAGUCGGGUGUGAAAUCUCGGAGCUUAACUCCGAAACUGCAUUCGAUACUGCCGUGCUUGAGGACUGGAGAGGAGACUGGAAUUUACGGUGUAGCGGUGAAAUGCGUAGAUAUCGUAAGGAAGACCAGUGGCGAAGGCGGGUCUCUGGACAGUUCCUGACGCUGAGGCACGAAGGCCAGGGGAGCAAACGGGG